GUCGAACGAGAGCGACCGGUGCUUGCACUGGUCAAUCUAGUGGCGAACGGGUGAGUAACACGUGGGUAACCUGCCCAUCAGAGGGGGAUAACAUUCGGAAACGGAUGCUAAAACCGCAUAGGUCUUCGAACCGCAUGGUUUGAAGAGGAAAAGAGGCGCAAGCUUCUGCUGAUGGAUGGACCCGCGGUGCAUUAGCUAGUUGGUGAGGUAACGGCUCACCAAGGCCGUGAUGCAUAGCCGACCUGAGAGGGUGAUCGGCCACAUUGGGACUGAGACACGGCCCAAACUCCUACGGGAGGCAGCAGUAGGGAAUCUUCCGCAAUGGACGCAAGUCUGACGGAGCAACGCCGCGUGAGUGAAGAAGGUUUUCGGAUCGUAAAACUCUGUUGUUAGAGAAGAACAAGUGCUAGAGUAACUGUUAGCGCCUUGACGGUAUCUAACCAGAAAGCCACGGCUAACUACGUGCCAGCAGCCGCGGUAAUACGUAGGUGGCAAGCGUUGUCCGGAUUUAUUGGGCGUAAAGCGAGCGCAGGCGGUUCCUUAAGUCUGAUGUGAAAGCCCCCGGCUCAACCGGGGAGGGUCAUUGGAAACUGGGGAACUUGAGUGCAGAAGAGGAGAGUGGAAUUCCAUGUGUAGCGGUGAAAUGCGUAGAUAUAUGGAGGAACACCAGUGGCGAAGGCGACUCUCUGGUCUGUAACUGACGCUGAGGCUCGAAAGCGUGGGUAGCAAACAGGAUUAGAUACCCUGGUAGUCCACGCCGUAAACGAUGAGUGCUAAGUGUUGGAGG
rnacentral:rRNA from 2 species